UACGUAGGAGGCGAGCGUUGUCCGGAUUUACUGGGCGUAAAGGGCGCGCAGGCGGCCCACCAAGUACGAUGUGAAAUCUCCCUGCUCAACGGGGAGGGUGCACUGUAAACUGGUGAGCUAGAGGACGGUAGAGGGGGGCGGAAUUGACGGUGUAGCGGUGAAAUGCUUAGAUAUCGUCAAGAACACCUAUAGCGAAGGCAGCUUACUAGGCUGUAACUGACGCUGAGGCACGAAAGUGUGGGGAUCAAACAGG
rnacentral:rRNA from 1 species